AUCGUUAAAAGAGUGCUGGUGGCGGCGGCAUUUCCCCAGGCUGGUGCUUUGGCGGCGGCGGCGGCUCCAGAAGUGCUGCCCGGCAUAGGCGGAUUCCUGCUGUCAACGCCGAAGGAGGCAGAGCCGCGUCCGCCUCAUGUCGGAGAUGGGGCAGCAGGGACACAGGUUUCCGCGCGGAGCGGCUCGCUCGGGGUGUGUGCGUGGGUAUGUGUGAAAGGAAGCAGCCGUCCGCGAGUCAAGAGGCAGCCUGGCUGGAGGGCUGGAGCAGAGACGCGCCAAAGGCGGCUCGCCACCAGAGCCAGCAGAAGCGGGAGAGAAAAGGGGGCUCGCGAGCUGACAGCCCAGAAAAGCGGGACGGGCGGAGGAGGGGAAAAAAGCCUCCUCGAGGGCCCUGAUUGGUCCUCCCGGACUCAAAUCAGAAACAAAAUUCUCUCCGCAAAAGAGGCGGCGCUUCAACUCGGGGAGGAGGGGGCGGGAGGCUUCGGCUCCAGUACAAAAGCCGCGGCGGGUCGCGGGGCUGCGGCAAGCGCGGUGGGGCUCUCUCUUUCUCCCCCCAGUAACGGGCGAGGAUGCAUGAGAGGUGACACGGCGGAGGAAGGGAAAUUCCAAAGUCUGGGGGUGGUGGGAAGGCUCCAGUGGAAAUGCCAAACGGAGUGUGUGUGAAUAACGGCUCAGCAAUUUAACCCCAUCAGGACCAGGAAAGAGCCUGUGCAAGAUUUUUCCACAGGUGGGUGAGAGACCCUCCGACCCCUCUGCCCCCAGAAGCCAGCAUUCCUCCUUGAGGGGCAGGUGUGUCACGCAUUAUAGUUUUCUUGACAGAGACACUGAAACAGAGACAUUUUAUUUGUUUACGUCAAGCUGUAAUCAUGAGGCGUGCAACAAAACACAUUUGCAGAGCAUAAGCGUUUGGCAAGCCUGCCUUCUCCCAGGGAGGAUUCGCCCCAUCUCUUCAACCCACAGAGGAAUAUUGCAAAAGCUGGGUAACGGGCAAAAUAUUGUAUCCACCAAAGGAAGCUGUCUAUCCAUAAAUGGAAGUUAUUAAAACCAAAUGGAGCCUUUGUAUCCAAAGCCAGGACAAGGCCGAUGUUUACCAGAAGAUGGGAAAGAAAGAUUGAUACCUGAGAGACCAUAAAUAAAUAAUCACGCUCCCCAAAAAGCUAUCA
rnacentral:lncRNA from 1 species